rnacentral:rRNA from 7 species
AAACCAACAGGGAUUGCCCCAGUAACGGCGAGUGAAGCGGCAACAGCUCAAAUUUGAAAUCUGGUCCCUAGGGCCCGAGUUGUAAUUUGUAGAGGAUGCUUUUGGUGAGGUGCCGCCCGAGUUCCCUGGAACGGGACGCCACAGAGGGUGAGAGCCCCGUCUGGCUGGCCGCCGAGCCUCUGUAAAGCUCCUUCGACGAGUCGAGUAGUUUGGGAAUGCUGCUCAAAAUGGGAGGUAUAUGUCUUCUAAAGCUAAAUAUUGGCCAGAGACCGAUAGCGCACAAGUAGAGUGAUCGAAAGAUGAAAAGCACCUUGAAAAGAGGGUUAAAUAGUACGUGAAAUUGUUGAAAGGGAAGCGCUUGUGACCAGACUUGGGCGCGGCGGAUCAUCCGGGGUUCUCUCCGGUGCACUUCGCCGCGUCUAGGCCAGCAUCAGUUCGUCGCGGGGGAAAAAGGCUUCGGGAACGUGGCUCCUCCGGGAGUGUUAUAGCCCGUUGCAUAAUACCCUGCGGUGGACUGAGGACCGCGCAUCUGCAAGGAUGCUGGCGUAAUGGUCACCAGCGAC